rnacentral:rRNA from 1 species
CACGUAGGGCGCAAGCGUUGUCCGGAAUUAUUGGGCGUAAAGAGCUCGUAGGUGGUUUGUUACGUCUGCUGUAAAUCCUAGGGCUUAACCCUGGGCUUGCAGUGGAUACGGGCAGACUAGAGGUAGGUAGGGGAGAAUGGAAUUCCUGGUGUAGCGGUGAAAUGCGCAGAUAUCAGGAGGAACACCGGUGGCGAAAGCGGCUCUCUGGGACGGUACUGACGCUGAGACGCGAAAGCGUGGGGAGCAAACAGG